rnacentral:rRNA from 1 species
GACGAACGCUGGCGGCGUGCUUAACACAUGCAAGUCGAACGGUAAGGCCCUUCGGGGUACACGAGUGGCGAACGGGUGAGUAACACGUGGGUGAUCUGCCCUGCACUUCGGGAUAAGCCUGGGAAACUGGGUCUAAUACCGGAUAGGACCACUGCCUGCAUGGGGGGUGGUGGAAAGCUUUUGCGGUGUGGGACGGGCCCGCGGCCUAUCAGCUUGUUGGUGGGGUGAUGGCCUACCAAGGCGACGACGGGUAGCCGGCCUGAGAGGGUGACCGGCCACACUGGGACUGAGAUACGGCCCAGACUCCUACGGGAGGCAGCAGUGGGGAAUAUUGCACAAUGGGCGCAAGCCUGAUGCAGCGACGCCGCGUGAGGGAUGACGGCCUUCGGGUUGUAAACCUCUUUCAGCACCGACGAAGCGCAAGUGACGGUAGGUGCAGAAGAAGGACCGGCCAACUACGUGCCAGCCGCCGCAGUAA